AUAAACACUCCUAGUGGUACAUGUCUCUUGUUCUCAAUCGAUUAGUUGUUCCCGGUUGCCAGCCGCUCUAAAUACACCGAUGUGUUUAUAUGUUAUUGUGUCUCUUUCUUUGCAUGUGACCACCCCAGUCUUUUUUCUCUUCGUCUCUGCAUUCCCGGAACUGUUCACCUUUUUAGUUGCUCAGAAAACAACCUGCGAUAUUUGCUCGUCAUUUUGAGAAUCAAAUUAUUUAAUUCACUAGUUUCAAAUAUAUAAUUUUACUUUCACUCCGUUUCCCUUUCCCUGUAUUCAUAACGCGUCAAUUAGGGUGUUUUCAUGGGGCUGUGCGCGUAUCCGUCGCGGUGUUGCGCGCGAUGUGUUUGCGUAGAAUCGUCAUUUCAUGCCCUCCCACUCAGCGAAUAGCUGCGAGGAAACAGCGGUAAACGGCGGGAGUAACUAUGACUCUCUUAAGGUAGCCAAAUGCCUCGUCAUUUAAUUGUUGACGCGCAUGAAUGGAUUAACGAGAUUCCUACUGUCCCUAACUACUAUCUAGCGAAACCACAGCCAAGGGAACGGGCUUGGCAAAAAUAGCGGGGAAAGAAGACCCUGUUGAGCUUGACUCUAGUUUGACAUUGUGAAGAGUCAUGAGAGGUGUAGCAUAGGUGGGAGACUUCGGUCGCCAGUGAAAUACCACCACUUUCAUCGACUCUUUACUUAUUCGGUUAAAAGAGAAUUGGCCUCACGGCCUUUUUUCGAAGCUUUAAGCGGAAGCCAUUUUAUGGCACCGUGACUCUCCUCGAAGA
rnacentral:ncRNA from 1 species